UCGAGAAUUUUUCUCAAUGGGCGAAAGCCUGAAGGAGCGACGCCGCGUGGGGGAUGAAUGGCUUCGGCCCGUAAACCCCUGUCAUUUGUGAACAAAUUGAUUCACCUAACACGUGAAGCAUUGAUUGUAGCGGAAGAGGAAGGGACGGCUAACUCUGUGCCAGCAGCCGCGGUAAUACAGAGGUCCCAAGCGUUGUUCGGAUUCACUGGGCGUAAAGGGUGCGUAGGCGGUCGGGUAAGUCUGACGUGAAAUCUCCGAGCUUAACUCGGAAACUGCGUUGGAUACUAUCCGGCUCGAGGAAUGGAGGGGAGACUGGAAUACUUGGUGUAGCAGUGAAAUGCGUAGAUAUCAAGUGGAACACCAGUGGCGAAGGCGAGUCUCUGGACAUUUCCUGACGCUGAGGCACGAAAGCCAGGGGAGCAAACGGGAUUAGAUACCCCCGUAGUCC
rnacentral:rRNA from 1 species